CUUUACAAUUUCCUGAUGUAGAAUGUCACUUACUCACAGUGUAUAAACCAAUUGUAUCAUCCCAGGAUGUUGCGAUGUGAUUGUCAUGGCGUGACGGCAAUAUUUACAUACCGCUGUUAAUUAUGUUACAAAUCAAUGGAUUAAUACUGCAAAAAAGCACAAUGGAAGAAUUCCAAUGCAUUUACUGUGAUUUUUCAACAAGCGUUUUCGGACACACAAUCACUGCACAUCAAACCAUGGAAGUAGAAACCUGAAAAUAAAAAUCUCAAAAUAAUGUGCUACCAACAAAACAUUAUCAUCGUAUUCCAAAGAAUUUCAAAUCAUAACAAAAUAGUUAAAAUCUUCCAGUAUUAUUCAAAAUAAUGAAACAAAAACAAUACGAAUUUUAAAAUGUGAACAAGAAUCACCAUUGAAAAAAAUUCCGAAGCCAACAACAUCAGUUAAAGAUGUGCACAGAACGCUUGAAGAAAAUAGUGAAAUUGGAGGCAAUGAUGAAGCUGAUCUUAAUGUUUACUUUGAAGACAUGUCAUUACUGGAAACAUCGACUGCAGUGCAAACAGAACCAUGUUUUGUGGUUAAGACCGAUGCAAUUGAAGAACGUGACAUUGAAACAAUUGAAUAUUUAUCCGGCAAAAUUCCAGCGGUGUUGGAAUACCUUAAAGCGGAAAAUCAAGUUGAAAUGUAUGUGAAAUUUACUUAGUUACCGUUGUCGAACAUUGCAUUUUUACUGUUCGUUGAUGUUGUGGAAUUGUUUUCAUUAUAAAGCACCCGUGAUAUGCGAUAUUCCGAAGAUGUGAAGCAGUUUUUGCGGAUAUGACUUCAGCUUUUUAAAGGGAAAUUUCUCAAGUUUAUGUUGGAAAAAUCAAGGGCAGGGCAGACAUUCUAUAUUAAUGUUUCCCAAGAAAUGCAUAGAGUUAAUAUAAAUCACCAAAAUAAUCAUUACUAUCACUCCCAUCAUGAUGAUCAUCAGUAAAGUUGGUAUCAUCAUUAGCAACAGCACCAGCACCAGUAGCAGCAUAAACUGUUCGUACUCGCAAUCUGUGUUAAAUUACGAAUGACCUGAGAGAGAAACAAGAAAUGAUAUUUUCUUCAACUUUAUAAUGAAAGGGUAACCUUGAAUUUGGAUCAUUUAGAAUUCAACUUUAUAAUGAAAGGGUAACCUUGAUUUUGGAUGAUUUAGAAUUUGCAUUAUUUUUCCAAAACAUAUUCACAUGUAUAUAAUGUACACUUACGUGUGCGAAUUACUGAAAUCCCGUAUUACUAUAGGCCAUGCAACAGUGGCUAUAUCAUGAAUGCAUAUUAAUAUAGAACGAAGUUUCAGCUUAAAUAAAUUUGAAAUAAAUAACGGACAGAAAUGCCUGCAAAUUAUAUUCCUUAAACCGAAAAGAGUAUUACAAAA